rnacentral:rRNA from 1 species
AUUGAACGCUGGCGGCAGGCCUAACACAUGCAAGUCGAACGAGUGGCGGACGGGUGAGUAAUGUCUGGGACACUGCCUGGUGGAGGGGGAUAACUACUGGGCACGGUAGCUAAUACCGCAUACCAUCGGAUGUGCCCGGAUUGGAUUAGCUUGUUGGUGGGGUAACGGCUCACCAAGGCGACGAUCCCUAACUGGUCUGAGAGGAUGACCAGCCACACUGGAACUGAGACACGGUCCAGACUCCUACGGGAGGCAGCAGUGGGGAAUAUUGCACAAUGGGCGCAAGCCUGAUGCAGCCAUGCCGCGUGUAUGAAGAAGGUCUUCGGGUUGUAAAGUACUUUAAGCUGGGAGGCGUUACCCGCAGAAGAAGCACCGGCUAACUCCGUGCCAGCAGCCGCGGUAAUAC